rnacentral:rRNA from 1 species
GUAGGUGGCAAGCGUUGUCCGGAAUUAUUGGGCGUAAAGCGCGCGCAGGCGGUUCUUUAAGUCUGAUGUGAAAGCCCACGGGCUCAACCGUGGAGGGUCAUUGGAAACUGGAGGACUUGAGUACAGAAGAGGAAAGCGGAAUUCCACGUGUAGCGGUGAAAUGCGUAGAGAUGUGGAGGAACACCAGUGGCGAAGGCGGCUUUCUGGUCUGUAACUGACGCUGAGGCGCGAAAGCGUGGGGAGCAAACGGGAUUAGAUACCCUGGUAGUCCACGCCGUAAACGAUGAGUGCUAAGUGUUAGGGGGUUUCCGCCCCUUAGUGCUGCAGCUAACGCAUUAAGCACUCCGCCUGGGGAGUACGGCCGCAAAGGCUG